rnacentral:rRNA from 1 species
AACGAACGCUGGCGGCAUGCCUAACACAUGCAAGUCGAACGAGACCUUCGGGCCUGGUGGCGCACGGGUGCGUACCGCGUGGGAAUCCGCCCUUAGGUUCGGAAUAACUCCCCGUAAGGGGUGCUAAUACCGGCUAAUGUCUUCGACCCACAGUUUAAUCGCCGUUGGAUGGGCCCGCGUUGGAGUAGCUAGAUGGUAGGGUAAAAGCCUACCAAGGCGACGAUCCAUAGCUGGUCUGAGAGGAAGAUCAGCCACUCUUGGACUGAGACACGGCCCAGACUUCUACGGGAGGCAGCAGUGGGUAAUAUUGGACAAUGGGCGGAAGCCUGAUCCAGCAAUGCCGCGUGAGUGAUGAAGGCCUGAGGGAUGUAAAGCUCUUUUACCCGGGAUGAUAAUGACAGUACCGGAAGAAUAAGCUCCGGCUAACUCCGUG